rnacentral:sRNA from 1 species
CUCCAAAUGGGUUGUAUCCAUUAAAUCUCUCCUUUCAGAGUUCAGGGAACCCUGCUGAAGAGGAGCUGGACAGAUUGGAGUGGGGGCACACAGGGAACUGAGGCUACCAGGAGAACAAGGCCUAAACAACUCAGCAAAUCUCCUAUGAGCUCACAGAGACUGCAUCAGCAGGCACAGGGCUUACACAGGUCUGCACCAGGUCCCCUGCAUAUAUAUGAUUGCUUUCAGUUUAGUGGUUUUAUGGGACUCCUGAAUAUGUAAACGAAGUGCAGUGAGGUGAGGCCUCUGUGACCUCACAGGGUAAAGCCCCGCCCUAGUAACAGCAGACUUCUUAGCCUGAGGACAACUCAGAGUCCAGCAAGGACGGCUGGCAUUCAUAGUGAGCACAUGUGUCUGCCCAUGUUUGGGCUGUUUUCGUGGAAUGGGUGCUACCUGAAAUUCAUCACUUGCUACAAUUCUUUGCCAACCAGCAUAUCGCUGCCAGCCAAUAUGAAGAUAAAGUAAACUAAUUUGACAUGAGGAGUCUUAUAAUGAUGCUAAGCCUCCAAGACACAGCCACUCAGGGAUUCUUUCCAAAUGUACUCAUUUUACUGCUUGUACCCAACUGUACGUUAAUUAUUAAAUAACUUUGGCUUUUAUUAAUUUUGGCAAUUUUUGAUAAGUUUUUCUACUUACGUAUUUGUGUGUCUGUGCGUGUGUAUGUGUGGGGUUGCACAUGUCACAACUCCUGUAUGAAAAUCAGAGGAAAGAUUAUGGGCCAGAGUUGAAUCCCUACGACCCAUAUGGUAGAUCUCUCUUUUUUCCAUAUGGGUCUUAGAGGUUCAACUUAGGUCAUCAGGCUUAUAGAUAAUUCUUUUCCCCAUUAAGACACUUACCUACCUCACCUUUUCUUCUCAAUGCUCAUAUGUGAUUACUCAAAUAUAACUAAAGAAUGGACAUAUUCUGCUUCCUGGGUUCAUUCAGUACAAUUCUUCAUCUUUCAUCCUGGUGUACAAAAUUCAGUCUCCCUCUCUGUGCCAUUUCAUUCAAUAUUUGGGCUUGAAUUUAGGUUCAUUUACUUGCUAGAUAAUAACUGUAUCACAUAACAUUUAUUUCUCACCCCCUUUUAAAUUUUUAUUUGGGAGUACAGUCUCAUUACAUUGGCUACACUGUCUCUGCCCUCAAUCUAUAACCCAGACUCAGGCUGGCUUUGUACUUGGGGCCCUCUUACAUCUGUCUAGUGAGUAUUUAGGAUUAUAGAUUUUGCCACUAGAGGAAA